UCGGACCCAGAGUGGUUCAUAUCUUAGAUAGUUGGAUCCAAUAGGGUAAUUAGAGUUUGUCGGUUCGAAUUCGGUUCGGUUCCAGAUCUGGCCCAAAAAAAACCCAAAACACACAAAAAUACCUGAAAAUAUUUAAAUACUCAAAAAUAUUUGAAAUUUUAUCCAAAAUCUGACCCGAAAACAUGAAAAAUACCCGAAAUUUUAUUUGAUUAUCCGAAUUAUAUUUUUGAAAAUCUAAAAUUUUACCUGAAACUCAAAACCAUACCC
rnacentral:lncRNA from 1 species